AGCGUGUAGGGGUGUGAUUAGGCAAAUCCGGUCACUGAAACUCUGAGGCGUGAUGACGAGCUGCUAAGGCAGUGAAGUAAUUGAUGCCCUGCUUCCAGGAAAACCCUCUAAGCUUCAGGUUAUAGUUAAUCGUACCCGAAACCGACACAGGUGGUCAGGUAGAGAAUACUAAGGCGCUUGAGAGAACUCGGGUGAAGGAACUAGGCAAAAUGGUGCCGUAACUUCGGGAGAAGGCACGCUGAUGUGUAAUUGAAAUCCCAUGCGGACGUAGGUGAAAUCAGUCGAAGAUACCAGCUGGCUGCAACUGUUUAAUAAAAACACAGCACUGUGCAAACACGAAAGUGGACGUAUACGGUGUGACGCCUGCCCGGUGCUGGAAGGUUAAUUGAUGGGGUUAUGCUUAUGCAGAAGCUCCUGAUCGAAGCCCCAGUAAACGGCGGCCGUAACUAUAACGGUCCUAAGGUAGCGAAAUUCCUUGUCGGGUAAGUUCCGACCUGCACGAAUGGCGUAAUGAUGGCCAGGCUGUCUCCACCCGAGACUCAGUGAAAUUGAAAUUGCCGUGAAGAUGCGGUGUACCCGUGGCAAGACGGAAAGACCCCGUGAACCUUUACUAUAGCUUGACAGUGAACAUUGAGCCUUAAUGUGUAGGAUAGGUGGGAGGCAAAGAAGCAUGCACGCCAGUGUGAGUGGAGUCGACCUUGAAAUACCACCCUUUAAUGUUUGAUGUUCUAACCUAUACUUCUGAAUCGAGGUAAGGGACACUGUCUGGUGGGUAGUUUGACUGGGGCGGUCUCCUCCCAAAGAGUAACGGAGGAGCACGAAGGUUAGCUAAUCCUGGUCGGACAUCAGGAGGUUAGUGCAAUGGCAAAAGCUAGCUUGACUGCGAGAGUGACGGCUCGAGCAGGUACGAAAGUAGGUCAUAGUGAUCCGGUGGUUCUGAAUGGAAGGGCCAUCGCUCAACGGAUAAAAGGUACUCCGGGGAUAACAGGCUGAUACCGCCCAAGAGUUCAUAUCGACGGCGGUGUUUGGCACCUCGAUGUCGGCUCAUCACAUCCUGGGGCUGAAGUAGGUCCCAAGGGUACGGCUGUUCGCCGUUUAAAGUGGUACGCGAGCUGGGUUUAGAACGUCGUGAGACAGUUCGGUCCCUAUCUGCCAUGGGCGUAGGAAAAUUGAGAGGGUUUGCUUCUAGUACGAGAGGACCGAAGUGAACGCACCGCUGGUGUUCGGGUUGUGAUGCCAAUUGCAUUGCCCGGUAGCUACGUGCGGAAUAGAUAAGUGCUGAAAGCAUCUAAGCACGAAACUAGCCUCGAGAUGAGUUUUCCCUGAAGAGAUUCAGUAAGGUCCGUUUGAGACUAAGACGUAGAUAGGUCAGGUGUGUAAGUGUAGUGAUACAUUGAGCUAACUGAUACUAAUGAACCGAGAGUCUUAACCUUACAACUC
rnacentral:rRNA from 1 species